GCCAGGAUGGCCGAGUGGUUAAGGCGUUGGACUUAAGAUCCAAUGGACAAAUGUCUGCGUUGGGGUUCAAACCCCACUCCUGGUA